rnacentral:rRNA from 1 species
GAUGAACGCUGGCUACAGGCUUAACACAUGCAAGUCGAGGGGAAACGACGGGGAAGCUUGCUUCCCCGGGCGUCGACCGGCGCACGGGUGAGUAACGCGUAUCCAACCUGCCUCUGACUGAGGGAUAACCCGUCGAAAGUCGGCCUAAUACCUCAUGGCAUCGUCUGCGGGCAUCCAACGACGAUUAAAGAUUUCAUCGGUCAGAGAUGGGGAUGCGUCUGAUUAGCUUGUUGGCGGGGUAACGGCCCACCAAGGCGACGAUCAGUAGGGGUUCUGAGAGGAAGGUCCCCCACAUUGGAACUGAGACACGGUCCAAACUCCUACGGGAGGCAGCAGUGAGGAAUAUUGGUCAAUGGGCGAGAGCCUGAACCAGCCAAGUAGCGUGCAGGAUGACGGCCCUAUGGGUUGUAAACUGCUUUUAUGCGGGGAUAAAGUGAGGGACGUGUCCUUCAUUGCAGGUACCGCAUGAAUAAGGACUGGCUAAUUCCGUG